rnacentral:rRNA from 1 species
GACGAGCGCUGGCGGCGUGCUUAACACAUGCAAGUCGAACGAAGAGCGAUGGAAGCUUGCUUCUAUCAAUCUUAGUGGCGAACGGGUGAGUAACGCGUAAUCAACCUGCCCUUCAGAGGGGGACAACAGUUGGAAACGACUGCUAAUACCGCAUACGAUCUAAUCUCGGCAUCGAGGAAAGAUGAAAGGUGGCCUCUAUUUAUAAGCUAUCACUGAAGGAGGGGAUUGCGUCUGAUUAGCUAGUUGGAGGGGUAACGGCCCACCAAGGCGAUGAUCAGUAGCCGGUCUGAGAGGAUGAACGGCCACAUUGGGACUGAGACACGGCCCAGACUCCUACGGGAGGCAGCAGUGGGGAAUCUUCCGCAAUGGACGAAAGUCUGACGGAGCAACGCCGCGUGAGUGAUGACGGCCUUCGGGUUGUAAAGCUCUGUUAAUCGGGACGAAAGGCCUUCUUGCGAACAGUUAGAAGGAUUGACGGUACCGGAAUAGAAAGCCACGGCUAACUACGUG